GAUGAACGCUGGCGGCGUGCCUAAUACAUGCAAGUCGAGCGAACAGACGAGGAGCUUGCUCCUCUGACGUUAGCGGCGGACGGGUGAGUAACACGUGGAUAACCUACCUAUAAGACUGGGAUAACUUCGGGAAACCGGAGCUAAUACCGGAUAAUAUAUUGAACCGCAUGGUUCAAUAGUGAAAGACGGUUUUGCUGUCACUUAUAGAUGGAUCCGCGCCGCAUUAGCUAGUUGGUAAGGUAACGGCUUACCAAGGCAACGAUGCGUAGCCGACCUGAGAGGGGGAGCAGCUCUACUCGAACUGAGACCCGGUCGAUUGUCCUACAGGAGCAGACAGAUGGGCAUAUUACGCACUGGGCGGAGACUUGACCGAGCCACACCGCGUGAGUUAUGAAGGACAUCGGAUCGUUAUACGCUGUUAGUAAGGAAGAUCAAAUGUGUAAGUAACUAUGCACGUCUUGACGGUACCUAAUCAGAAAGCCACAGCUAACUACGUG
rnacentral:rRNA from 1 species